AGAAAUUGAUGAAAUUAAAAUUUUCCGUAUAGCAGGCGGUUUAAGCUUUUCGUCAAGAUUCUAUUUUAACGAAAGACUUAUCAAAGCAACAGGCAUCGAUCCGACCAAAAUUUUUAAAAGAAGAUUGUGGCUCGCAAAGAAAGGCCUUCCACCAGAAGAACAAGAAUUUGAAUAUAAGUGGAUAAUCCUUGAUUUCUCUAGACUCACUUUUAUUGAUCCAUGUGCGAUAGCGACUCUGAGAACUUUGCAAACAGAUUAUGGCAAGCUAGAUAUUACAAUUUUACUUGUAAUAAAUUCAGGUACUGUAUUUGAAACACUUAUCAGAUGGAAAAAAGUGGAAAAGAAAGAACGAAUUUUCAUAAUUUUCCCCACAGUCCAUGAUGCAGUGCUCUAUGCUCUCGGAGCUGGCAUAUUUGGCAAGCCUGCAACAGAACCGUAUAAACGAGUACAGGACGUUAAACUUGGCAGAUCAAUCCACCAUAUAAGAUCAAUGCACCAUAUAUGAAAUUUGUAUCGUUCAUUUAUAUGCAGAUAUACAAUGGGGUGUUCCGAAAAGACCAAGUUUAAAAAUGUCGAUUUCUCCGGCUCUUUUCUAAUGAUAGAAGCCUAUAAACUCUCAAUUUUAAAUUUCAGCCCAAAAUGUUAACCCUAACCCUUGUCCCAAGUACCCCCAAAAAUUUUUUUGGGGAUUUCAAAGAUUUUUAAUUAUUUUUAGUCUAUACCUUUUUGUAAGAAAUCAAACAAGUAAACUCACUUUUAAGCUUUAUUUUAAUAUCUCCAGAAAAAAAAGUCAUAGGCCAUGUUAACAAGUUAAAUAUGGGGAUUAAAAUAUAAUAAAUGUUACCCAUUUUUCACGUUUGUUGGUCUUUCUCAAGAUAUUUUGAGUACCAUGAAAAUUAUUCUCGUUAAAAAAAAACAACAUAUUUUUCUAACUAAUUAUACAUCUGAAUAUAAAGGAAUACUCAAAGAUAUUACAAAUUAAUUUAAAUAAUGGAGAAUAGUAAAUAUAUCAGUAAAAGUUUGUUUAAAGAUUAAUAAAAGUUGCCUUUCUGGAAUCGGUAAAACACUUUCUGUGGUUUUAAGUAGGUAUGUGUAACACACUUUGCUUGAUUUUUUCAUUUCGGACAUUCCAUUGCCCCUCACAAAAGAUGACAAAAGGAAGAACAGUGUGUUACAAGUAGUGGAAAACCACAGAAAGUGUUCUACCGAUUUCAGAAAGGCAACUUUGAUUAAUCUUUAAACAAACUUUUACUAAUGUAGGAUGUAGGUAGUUACUUUUUUUACUGUAGUUUACUGUAGUUUACUGAUUUUCCAUUUAAUUCAAUUUGUAACAGCUUUGUGAAUUACUUCAUAUCCAAAUGUAUAAUUAGUUAGAAACAUGUGUUGUUUUUUAACGAGAAUAAUGUUCAGUUAGGUACUCAAGAUAUCUUGAGAAAGGCUAGGUAAUAAACGUGAAAAUGGGCAAUCUUUAUAUUUUAAUCCCCAUAUUAAACUUGUUAUUAUAGCCUAUGAUUUUUUUUUCUGAACAUAUAGGUAAGUAAUGUAAAAUAAAAUUUAAAACUAAUAUAAGUUUACUUGUUUGUUUUCUUUAAAAAAAUUUUUGGGGGGCUUGGGACAAGGGUUGUGGCUAACAGUUUGAGCUAAAAUUUGAAAUUGAGGGUUUAGAGGCCCAUCACCAGAAAACAGCCGGGUAACGUUUGACAUUUUUAAACUUUUGUUUUUUCGGAACUCCCUAAUAUACAAUUAUUAUACCUAAAUAGUUCAUACAUAUUAUUCAAAUGAAUAAUAAAUUAUAAUCUUAGUUCUACAGCUUCAAAAGAAUUGAUCUUGUGCAAUUUUCUUGGAUAUUUUAAAUCAUUUGACAAUAAAUAUAUAAAUGGUCCUUA
rnacentral:lncRNA from 1 species